rnacentral:rRNA from 1 species
AACGAACGCUGGCGGCAUGCCUAACACAUGCAAGUCGAACGAGACCUUCGGGUCUAGUGGCGCACGGGUGCGUAACGCGUGGGAAUCUGCCCUUGGGUUCGGAAUAACUCGCCGAAAAUUGUGCUAAUACCGCAUGAUGCAGUUGGGCCGCAUGGCUCUGACUGCCAAAGAUUUAUCGCUCUGAGAUGGCCUCGCGUCUGAUUAGCUAGUUGGUGGGGUAACGGCCCACCAAGGCGACGAUCAGUAGCCGGACUGAGAGGUUGACCGGCCACAUUGGGACUGAGACACGGCCCAG